UACGUAGGGGGCAAGCGUUGUCCGGAUUUAUUGGGCGUAAAGAGCGUGUAGGCGGCCUUGCAGGUCAGCUGUGAAAACUCGAGGCUCAACCUCGAGACGUCGGUUGAAACCAUCUGGCUAGAGUCCGGAAGAGGAGUGUGGAAUUCCCGGUGUAGCGGUGAAAUGCGCAGAUAUCGGGAAGAACACCCGUGGCGAAGGCGGCACUCUGGGACGGUACUGACGCUGAGACGCGAAAGCGUGGGGAGCGAACAGG
rnacentral:rRNA from 1 species